rnacentral:tRNA from 1 species
GGCUUCGUGCUCGAGUGGUAAGGACCUUGCUUCUCACCCUAGAGUCCCGAGUUCGAUCCCCGGUGGAACGUCA